rnacentral:rRNA from 1 species
UACUGAGGGUGCAAGCGUUAAUCGGAUUUACUGGGCGUAAAGCGUUCGUAGGUGGUUUGUUAAGUUGGAUGUGAAAGCCCAGGGCUCAACCUUGGAAUUGCAUCCAAAACUGGCCGACUAGAGUAUGUGAGAGGGAAGUGGAAUUUCAGGUGUAGCGGUGAAAUGCGUAGAGAUCUGAAAGAACACCGAUGGCGAAGGCA